GACAGAGGUACCGAGCGUUAGGCGGAAUCACUGGGCUUAAAGCGUGUGUAGGCGGGCCGUUAAGUGUCUUGUGAAAUCCCCCGGCUCAACCGGGGAAUUGCUGGGCAUACUGGCGGUCUUGAGCAGUUCAGGGGCAGAUGGAACAAGUGGUGGAGCGGUGAAAUGCGUAGAUAUCACUUGGAACGCCAACGGUGAAAACAGUCUGCUGGGAACUUGCUGACGCUGAGACACGGAAGCCAGGGGAGCGAACGGG
rnacentral:rRNA from 1 species